CGAUUAUUACAUGCUCUGUGUCGUUAUCGGUAGAAAUAUUUUGGAAAAUUAGCUUAUAGAACUUAUAUAUAGUGUAGUGAUUCGACAGAUCAAUCUGCAGUAGUGAGGGUCGGUCAAAUAAUACAUUAGAAGAUUUAUCACAGUUGGAUUUCGGCGAAUCACGGAUCACGAAUGAUCAUUAUUAUUAGGAUCUACUAUAGACAUACAUAAAUCAAGGGAUACUGAAAUACUGUAAAGCACCGCUUACCGAACACUACGGAAACUUGAGAACAGACACUAAACGUGAGUAAUUUGUUUUAAUAAUUAUAAAUGUCGCCUAAUGAAAUGUAUGA